ACUCUUCACUCUCAUUCUCAUGGUAAAGGUAUGUCUUUUCUCCCUCUCCCUCCCCCUCUCCCUCUCUUGCGCCGCUGACUAUAGAGAGAGCGUCACUGACUACACUCCCUUGAACGGCGCUGGCCCUUCGUGCCCCUCUCGCACAGCCAAUCGUGAGCAGCGCCGAUCGUGACCCUCUCUCCGAUCAAUGCCCUCUGCUCUCUCUCUGUUGUUCGCUUUUCAAGCUAUGGCCUUUCUAUCUCAGAUUCACAUAUGAUUUUCUUGAAAGAAGGGACGGAAGGGUUUCUUCGUGCGAGUCUUUGAUUCGAUGCACUUGGUGUCGAGGAUGCUAUUGUGCUUGCAUUUGCUCAACGCCGAUGUCCAAAUUUGGCUCGACAAUUCAUCUUAGAUCCAAAAUCAUCCGGUGAUCCCAAGUUUAUGGAGGCAUAUGGUUAUAUAUGGAGAUACAGAUUCUGUAAUGGUUCAAUUUGGUGUUUCUACUUUUGAAGAAGCUAUGAACUUGGGGAGGGAAGCAGCUGAUUACAUUAGUGGAACUUUCACGAAAUGACAAAUACGUUGAGGAGUCUUUGGGCGGAAGUACUGUGGCUCAGAUCUUUAAGAAGUUGGGUGAGAGUUUCUUUGGAGACUUUUGAGGUUUAUUAAUUAGCAUUGGAUUUAUGUUAAAGUGCUGCAUUAUGUGAUUUGUGAUUUAGUUUAGGUAUAGUAUUCUUGUAACCGUCUUGUUUAGUUGUUGGUUGAGAGGUUAUUUUCCUUUAAGUUUUGGCCAUGCAUUUAAGAUUUUCAUUUUGGAUUUAUUGAUUCUAUGUAUAGGUCAUAUCUAUAUGGUAAUUCAAACAUUUAUACUAGUAACAAUCAAAGUGGUUAUUCUUUUUCUAUUGAUGCAGGAGAUAAAGAGUCAGUAUGAUGAGAAAAGGUUCGACUGUAUCUUUUGUAAGACUAGAACAGCCUCUACAAAUAGUUAGUUUAUUCAUACGCUUCUAGUUGUUUCUGAAUUAAUUUGUGUUUUCAUUUUUUAGGUAAGAAAUUUCUUGGAGAGAUGCAAAAUGCAAAAUAUGGUCAAAGAAUUCAAGAAUU